rnacentral:rRNA from 1 species
UACGUAGGGCGCAAGCGUUGUCCGGAAUUAUUGGGCGUAAAGAGCUCGUAGGCGGUUUGUCGCGUCUGCUGUGAAAACCCGGGGCUCAACCCCGGGCCUGCAGUCGAUACGGGCAGACUAGAGUGCGGCAGGGGAGACUGGAAUUCCUGGUGUAGCGGUGAAAUGCGCAGAUAUCAGGAGGAACACCAAUGGCGAAGGCAGCUCGCUGGGACGGUACUGACGCUGAGGCGCGAAAGCGUGGGGAGCGAACAGG